AUUUUCCCCAGCAUGGCUUUCUGAACCUCGCCACUGAAAUGCAGCAGAGCAAGACAGCUGCAAUUUUAAAGCAGCCAUUUUGGAAGUAGUUACUACUUGCGCUUUGUUCUCCUAUCUGGUUUUUUUCACCCUGGAUUUACACUGAGGCAAAUAACAGAGCAGCC
rnacentral:lncRNA from 1 species